GACGAACGCUGGCGGCGUGCUUAACACAUGCAAGUCGAACGGAAAGGCCCUGCUUUUGUGGGGUGCUCGAGUGGCGAACGGGUGAGUAACACGUGAGUAACCUGCCCUUGACUUUGGGAUAACUUCAGGAAACUGGGGCUAAUACCGGAUAGGAGCUCCUGCUGCAUGGUGGGGGUUGGAAAGUUUCGGCGGGUGGGGAUGGACUCGCGGCUUAUCAGCUUGUUGGUGGGGUAGUGGCUUACCAAGGCUUUGACGGGUAGCCGGCCUGGGAGGGUGACCGGCCACAUGGGGACUGCGAUACGGACCAGACUCCAACGGGAGGCAGCAGGGGGGAAUAUUGCACAGUGGGCGGAAGCCUGAUGCGGAAACGCCGCGUGCGGGAUGACGGCCUUCGGGUUGUAAACCGCUUUCGCCUGUGACGAAGCGUGAGUGACGGUAAUGGGUAAAGAAGCACCGGCUAACUACGUG
rnacentral:rRNA from 1 species